rnacentral:rRNA from 1 species
AUUGAACGCUGGCGGCAGGCUUAACACAUGCAAGUCGAGCGGGGGAGGUUGCUUCGGUAACUGACCUAGCGGCGGACGGGUGAGUAAAGCUUAGGAAUCUGCCUAUUAGUGGGGGACAACAUUCCGAAAGGGAUGCUAAUACCGCAUACGCCCUACGGGGGAAAGCAGGGGAUCUUCGGACCUUGCGCUAAUAGAUGAGCCUAAGUCGGAUUAGCUAGUUGGUGGGGUAAAGGCCUACCAAGGCGACGAUCUGUAGCGGGUCUGAGAGGAUGAUCCGCCACACUGGGACUGAGACACGGCCCAGACUCCUACGGGAGGCAGCAGUGGGGAAUAUUGGACAAUGGGGGGAACCCUGAUCCAGCCAUGCCGCGUGUGUGAAGAAGGCCUUUUGGUUGUAAAGCACUUUAAGCGAGGAGGAGGCGCUCUAGGAUAAUACCCUAGAUGCGUGGACGUACUCGCA